rnacentral:lncRNA from 1 species
AACAAAUACAAAAAACAUUGUGUAUCUGAUAAUAUUAUAACUUAGGAGAUUAAGGAAAAAGUUCUGAAUAUUAAAAUGGAAAAUAAUGCCAAUGACACAUCGGAAUGUUCAAAAUCAGAUAGUAAUGAUAAAAAUAAUUCAAAAAAAAGAAAAUUAAGUGGUAAUGAACCCGUUUCAACUACUAAAAAGCAAGCCAAUAUAAUGACAAAAGAAUAUUUUUUAAGCAAUGCGAAAACAUUACAUUUGAAUUUAGCAGAUGAAUUAAAAUUAAAAUUAGAACCAAGAAUGUUCAGUACUGGUAGUUGUGGAUGGCAUAUUACUGAAAAGAUCCCUCUGCUAGUUGGAGAUUGUGACGUUCUUUGCCAGCUUUGCAUUAAUUGUUCAGGUAUAAGAAAAAAAAAAAAAGUAAAAAGUAUUUAUAAUAUUUUAUAUAACAUAAUAAAAUAUGAUAAAAUGUCUGAAUUUUCGUUUAUUUAUUUGUUUGUAUGUCUAUCUCUUUUUUUUAUUUUUUUAUUAUUAGUUAUUGGUAGCAAGAAAUGGAAUUAAACAUUUCAAUUAUUUUUUUCUGAAGGAGUGAAAUAAAGAUAUAUAAUAUUGCA